rnacentral:rRNA from 1 species
CAGUCGCCACGGUAAAACGGAGGGUGCUAGCGUUGUUCGGAAUCACUGGGCGUAAAGGGCGCGUAGGCGGCCUGUUAAGUCGGAUGUGAAAGCCCGGGGCUCAACCCCGGAACUGCAUCCGAGACUGGCAGGCUUGAGACCGGGAGAGGAGGGUGGAAUAUCCAGUGUAGAGGUGAAAUUCGUAGAUAUUGGAUGGAACACCGGUGGCGAAAGCGGCUCUCUGGCCCGGAUCUGACGCUGAGGCGCGAAAGCGUGGGGAGCAAGCAGGAUUAGAUACCCGCGUAGUCCCUGUCUCUUAUAC